CAUGCGGCUGGAUGCGUUUGGAAAGGUAAGGUUUUAUUUUGCAAUUUUUAGGGUCGAGCUCUUGUGGAAAAUCCUAUAUUUUUAUGUUUUUUGGAGAACUUUGGCCUAAGUUCCCUUUAGAUAUGAAGAUAUACGGAUUAUUCCGGGAAUUUCCUUAAAAAUUGUCGAAUAAAACCUACUCGUUUUGUGGAUGGAUGAAAUAUGCUCUUUAUGCUGGAAAUGGACACUUCACGAAUGAACGAAAUCCGCGGCGGAGAAAACCCCUAUCGGUUUACCGUCCAUGUCCGCGAAUUCAUACGAACUGGUGCCCCGUUUACUAAGGACGAUGCAGGGGACGUACUGAGGCCCUAGUUUGGCGUUAUAUCUUUGGCUAGCCGAUGACUGACGAAAGUUACGCUUGAACACACGUUGACCCGGUUGAAAUGAGGCGAUCGAGUUUAUUCCGGCAGCCAACAUCGCAGUUCUGCAAUCUUCCCUGGUGUUACGGAACAAGGUUUCAAAUUUACGACGGUCAUCCCACGGUUCGGACAUACAACGAAAAAUACGGACAACAUCAAGCUUUCAACCAUUCUCGUAAUGAGCGUUCCUUACUGCCGCGCCCCCUUCCGGACACGUCUAUGCGGCGGAUACGCAAUUCGUGAUCAAGUUCGUGAUCAGAAAGAUGUGCUG